GGGAAGCAGCGAAGGGGGGAACGCAAAGGGCACGCGCGGGCAGGCCGGAGAGGAGGCCGGGGGGAGGGUCAGUUGAAAGAAAAAGCGAGGUGGGGCGGGGUGGUGACCCAUCGGAAUUGGGUUAUCUUUGACCUUUUAAAAAGUUUAAGUGACCUAAAAUUGAUACCUUGUGCAUCUCAGACGUACAUAAGAAUAUUUUUUAUCCGUCCGGAGUUGCCAACUUUUUAUUAGGUAUGACCAUGCUGUUUGUGGCGUAGUACCUAUAAUAUACUCAUAUUUUGACCUCAAAUCAGGUAGGAGU
rnacentral:misc_RNA from 1 species